rnacentral:rRNA from 1 species
GAUGAACGCUGGCGGCGUGCUUAACACAUGCAAGUCGAACGGGAAACCUUUUAUUGAAGCUUCGGCAGAUUUAGCUGGUUUCUAGUGGCGGACGGGUGAGUAACGCGUGGGUAACCUGCCCUAUACAGGGGGAUAACAACCAGAAAUGGUUGCUAAUACCGCAUAAGCGCACAGGGCCGCAUGGUCCGGUGUGAAAAACUCCGGUGGUAUAGGAUGGACCCGCGUUGGAUUAGCCAGUUGGCAGGGUAACGGCCUACCAAAGCGACGAUCCAUAGCCGGCCUGAGAGGGUGAACGGCCACAUUGGGACUGAGACACGGCCCAGACUCCUACGGGAGACAGCAGUGGGGAAUAUUGCACAAUGGGGGAAACCCUGAUGCAGCGACGCCGCGUGAAGGAAGAAGUAUCUCGGUAUGUAAACUUCUAUCAGCAGGGAAGAUAGUGACGGUACCUGACUAAGAAGCCCCGGCUAACUACGUG